rnacentral:rRNA from 1 species
GACGAACGCUGGCGGCGCGCUUAACACAUGCAAGUCGAACGGAAAGGCCUGCUUUCCCUUGUGGAUUGCGGGUACUCGAGUGGCGAACGGGUGAGUAACACGUGAGUGAUCUGCCCCCAACUUGGGUAUAAGCCUGGGAAACUGGGUCUAAUUCCCGAUAGGACUGCAGGGUGGUGCCUGUGGUGGAAAACGAUUUUCUAGUGGUUGGGGAUGAGCUCGCGGCCUAUCAGCUUGUUGGUGGGGUAAUGGCCUACCAAGGCGGCGACGGGUAGCCGGCCUGAGAGGGUGGACGGCCACAUUGGGACUGAGAUACGGCCCAGACUCCUACGGGAGGCAGCAGUGGGGAAUAGUGCAAAAUGGGCGGAAGCCUGAUGCAGCGACGCCGCGUGGGGGAUGACGGCCUUCGGGUUGUAAACUCCUUUCGACCGCGAGGAAGCCACCUGGUUGGAAGGGUGGUGACGGUAGUGGUAGAAGAAGCACCGGCUAACUACGUG